ACUUCGGCCAUGUGGGCCUUGUCGGCCUCGGCCUUGAAAGCCGAGUUGAGGACGAUCUUCUUCAGGUUCGGGACCUGAUGGAUGUUC
rnacentral:tRNA from 1 species